UUCCGGUUGAUCCUGCCGGACCCGACUGCUAUCAAAGUGGGACUAAGCCAUGCGAGUCAACAUAGCAAUAUGUGGCAUACGGCUCAGUAACACGUAGUCAACAUGCCCAGGGGACGUGGAUAACCUCGGGAAACUGAGGAUAAACCGCGAUAGGUCAUCACUUCUGGAAUGGGUAAUGACUUAAAUCUAUAUGGCCCCUGGAUUGGACUGCGGCCGAUCAGGCUGUUGGUGAGGUAAUGGCCCACCAAACCUGUAACCGGUACGGGCUCUGAGAGGAGGAGCCCGGAGAUGGGCACUGAGACAAGGGCCCAGGCCCUAUGGGGCGCAGCAGGCGCGAAACCUCUGCAAUAGGCGAAAGCUUGACAGGGUUACUCUGAGUGAUUUCCGUUAAGGAGAUCUUUUGGCACCUCUAAAAAUGGUGCAGAAUAAGGGGUGGGCAAGUCUGGUGUCAGCCGCCGCGGUAAUACCAGCACCCCGAGUGGUCGGGACGUUUAUUGGGCCUAAAGCAUCCGUAGCCGGUUCUACAAGUCUUCCGUUAAAUCCACCUGCUUAACAGAUGGGCUGCGGAAGAUACUAUAGAGCUAGGAGGCGGGAGAGGCAAGCGGUACUCGAUGGGUAGGGGUAAAAUCCGUUGAUCCAUUGAAGACCACCAGUGGCGAAGGCGGCUUGCCAGAACGCGCUCGACGGUGAGGGAUGAAAGCUGGGGGAGCAAACCGGAUUAGAUACCCGGGUAGUCCCAG
rnacentral:rRNA from 1 species